rnacentral:rRNA from 1 species
UACGUAGGGCGCAAGCGUUGUCCGGAUUCAUUGGGCGUAAAGAGCGUGUAGGCGGCCAGGUAGGUCGGUUGUGAAAACUGGAGGCUCAACCUUCAGAGGUCGACCGAAACCAUCUGGCUAGAGUCCGGGAGAGGAGAGUGGAAUUCCUGGUGUAGCGGUGAAAUGCGCAGAUAUCAGGAAGAACACCCGUGGCGAAAGCGGCUCUCUGGAACGGUACUGACGCUGAGGUGCGAAAGCGUGGGGAGCAAACAGG